GGCGGGCGUAGCCAAGUGGUAAGGCAAUGGAUUGUGACUCCAUCACUCGCGGGUUCGAACCCCGUCGUUCGCC
rnacentral:tRNA from 1 species